rnacentral:rRNA from 1 species
GAUGAACGCUAGCUACAGGCUUAACACAUGCAAGUCGCGGGGCAGCAUGGGGGUUGCUUGCAAUCCCCGAUGGCGACCGGCGCACGGGUGAGUAACGCGUAUCCAACCUGCCCUUCACCACGGGAUAACCCGGCGAAAGUCGGACUAAUACCGUAUGUUGUCCAUUGACGGCAUCCGAUUUGGACGAAAGGUUUGGCGGUGAAGGAGGGGGAUGCGUCCGAUUAGCUGGACGGCGGGGUGACGGCCCACCGUGGCGACGAUCGGUAGGGGUUCUGAGAGGAAGGUCCCCCACACUGGAGCUGAGACCCGGUCCAGACUCCUACGGGAGGCAGCAGUGAGGAAUACUAGUCAAUGGGCGUAAGCCUGAACCAGCCAAGUAGCGUGCAGGAUGUCGGCCCUAUGGGUUGUAAACUGCUUUUAUGCGGGGAUAAAGUGGCCCACGUGUGGGUUUUUGCAGGUACCGCAUGAAUAAGGACCGGCUAAUUCCGUG